CAGAAGUUGCUCAAUGAGGGCGCGGUUUGUGGGGCAGCGAAGCGGAGCGCUAAUACGAGUUGGUGCUUUUUGGAAAAAAUGAGUAUUUUCUGGCUGAAAUUGAGGGACCUGAGCAAAAAUCUGAUUCAGAGGCUAAAAAAUGACUGUUAAUGCUGUUGGAUUCUGACCUCCCUACACUCGAAAUGAAAUUUUUGGAGCUACAGAAACCCAAAUAGCGCCCUCUCAAUUGCGUUGGAAAGUAGACAUCUAGGGCUUUUCAGCAAUAUAUAAUAGUUCAUACUUUAUCCGAGUUUUAAUGACGCAAACUGGCGUUCAAACGCCAACUUCCUGCCCUAUUCUGGCGUUUAACGCCAGAAACAGGUUACAAGCUAGAGUUAAACGCCAAAAAUAGGCUACAAACUGGCGUUUAACUCCAAGAGAAGUCUCUACACGUGAAAGCUUCAAUGUUCAGCCCAAGCACACACCAAGUGGACACCAAAAGUGGAUUCUACAUCAUUUACUUAUUUCUGUAACCUUAGUAACUAGUUUAGUAUAAAUAGGAUUUUUUACUAUUGUACUCAUAUCUUUUGAUCAUUUUUGAGACUAUCUUUUGAUAAUCUUUUGAUCUCUUGAUCACGUUUUGGGGGCUGGCCAUUCGGCUAUGCCUGGACCUUAAUCACUUAUGUAUUUUCAACGGUGGAGUUUUUACACACCAUAGAUUAAUAUGUGGAGCUCUGCUGUUCCUCAUGAAUUAAUGCAAA